AACUAUGAUGAUUUACAUAACAAACAGGGACAAAGCCCUUGGCUAUAACCUUAUUCACGUCAUUGUGGUACAUAAAAGACUAAACUAUAUGUUACUACUUAAAUGGCAAUAGGGAUUGCAUGAAGUGGCUGAGCCUUAUUUAAGGUGAGACCAAACUUCUCUUCCAUGUCCAUGUUAUGUUGAGUAACUCCAUCUUCAAAUUUCCAAUCAAAGGAAUUAAUAAGUGAACCCAACAUUAGAUAUAACAUUCUUAUAGCCAACGGCAAACCAGGACAUAUUCGUCGUCCAGCACCAAAUGGUAUUAACUCAAAAUUCCGGCCUUUGACAUCAAUGUCCGACCCCAAGAAUCUCUCGGGCAUGAAAGAACAAGGAUUCUCCCAUAUGCCUUCAUCCCUGCCAAUAGCCCAUACAUUAACUAAAACUUGGGCAUCCUUUGGUAUUGUAUAGCCUGCGACUUGUGUGUUUGUUGAGGCUUUGCGUGGAAGUAACAAGGGAGCUGCUGGGUGCAACCUAAAAGUUUCUUUGACUACUGCUUGUAGAUAAGGCAGCCGAAUGAUGUCUGAUUCGUCAAUCGGGUUCCCUUUGCCAAUUGUUUGUUCUAGCUCCAUUCUAGUUUUGGAUAAAGCCUCUGGGUUGCAGAGUAGUUCAGUCAUUGCCCAUUCCAAUGUGCUCGAAGUUGUAUCAGCACCCGCCGCAAACAAAUCCUGUUUGAGAUGGCAGCCAGAGAGAAAUUAAUUGAAUACAUAACUUGUAAUAUAAAGAAGAAAAGGAAAAAGGAAUUGUAAAGAAGAAAUAUUACAAUAAACAAAUGAUUGAUAUAAUUUCUAUCAAUCUCCACGCUCUUGUCAUCCAUGAUAUUGAGAAGAGUAUCCAAAAUAUCUUUGUAUUCGGUGGAACCAUGUUCUUGUCUGAGCUUCAUUCUUUGAUCAAUCAAGCAAUCAAAGACCUCCAACAUCUUGCCAAAAUGUUUUGUCAUGCGACGCCUUAUACCUUGUGGGUCAAGCUUUUUAAGCACUGGAAAAUUGUCGGACAAGUUAGGCUUUCCAGCUUCCACCGUAAUACCCGAAAUCAUAUCUCUAAACUCUCGCGCAGUAUCUGAACUGUGAUCAGCCAAAUCAACGGAAAAAAUUGUGUUCCAUAAAAAAUUAAGAGUAGUAUUGAAAGCUGCCUGGCCAAUAUCUAUUGCUUUACCGGCCCGGCAAUUUUCUUGAGCGUAAGCAAGAAGUUGUUGGAUUCUUUUGCGCCGGAGGUGUUGAUUAGCAUCGAGUUUCUGAGUGGUGAAAAUAUGUGAGUUGCAUAUUUUUCGAAGAUUUGUCCGCGGUGUCGAGAGUGGCAGCCAGCCCAUCGAGAAUUCAUCGUGCUGGUGUGCACGGAGUGCGUCUGGGACCGUUCGAUUACAGAAAGACGUAUCUUGGUUUUGAAGGAUUUCACUGGCUGUAGUUGCGGAAGAAAUGACUACUGUGGUCACCUGGCCAAAUUUUAGACUCAUUACGGGGCCAUAAAUCUUGGAGAGCUUGGCUAGUGACCUGUGAGGUUUGGCUCCAAGCUCCAGGAGGUUUCCGAUGACAGGAUAAGGCGUCGGUCCCGGUGGAAGCUUUCUCGAUCCUGCUUUGCAACCUCUUAAAAAGGAAUUUAAAGUUAUGACCAAAACCCAUGUGAAUAAAACCCAUAACAAGCAGCUUAAGAUAUCCAUCUCUCUAGUUGAAACUCUAAGAAACACCAGAGUCAGUGGCCUUUCACCUUCUUUAAAAUAGAAAGUUAUCUGCACUACGUGUCCUUUGGGCCACAGAUGCUGUUAUCUAAAACAGUGGCUCAAAAGUCAAAAUUUGCGACCGGUAGCUAGCUUAUAGCCGCCUUUAAAUUUACCUCCGUUCUUCAACGCAGUCGGUACUUGCCGAGGUUGCCCUUAAUAGAUAAUAAUAAUAAUUAUUUUUGAUUCAAUCUAACACUUCACUUCAUCUCAAUCCGUUAACCAAGUCCUUUGAAUUCAUUUCCUCCGUUACAUCUUCUGCACUUCUGUUGACUGUUUGUUCCAAGUUGAUUUCCGUUUCUCUCGUCCCUGGCUCUCUGCUGACUGCCCUGUCACGGCUACUGUCAAAGUCAAACAGAUUGGGUUGGGCUUGUUUCUUGGCCCAGUUAACAUUCUUACCACUAUUUUCCACGCAAAAUUUUGAAUUUUAGGUUUUUUCUUUUGUUUUUCAUUUGAAAUCUUAAAUUUUGAAUUUUUUUAUUUUUGUUUUCCCAUUCCGACGUAACUGGAACAUAAUAGCAAUUUGUUACAUGUAUCAUGUGAUUUUUUUCACUAGAUGCAAGGUGUGUGUGUGUGUAUAGUUUAUAAUUUGAUAUUAGCUCAUGAUCCUUUGUGCACAUUUAUAAAUUCAUCAAAAAUAAAUCAUAUUUAUAUUAUAAAACAAAAGCAUAAAUAUCAUUUGGCCCAAAAAAAACCUAAAAUAAAAAAAUCAUAUAAAUUCAACUAAUAGUUGUAAAUUUAACUGUAAUAUAAAAAAUAUUAUAAAAUAUAAUUUUCACUUAACUCUUUGUAUUCUCUCGAGCCCCCGCCAUUAUGUAAUUUUUUUUUUAUAUUAUAUACAAUAUAAGCUCUUUAUAAUUUUAUAUUAGAUCAUGAUCCUUUGUGGACGUUUAUAAAUUCAUCAAAAACAAAUCAUAUUUAUAUGAUUAAAAAAAACAUAAAUAUCAUUUGGCCAAAAAAAAUUAAAAUAAAAGAAUAUCAUAUAAAUUCAACUAAUAGUUGUAAAUUUAACUGUAAUAUAAAAAAUAGUAUAAAAUAUAAUUUUCGCUUAAUUCUUCGUAUUCUCUCGAGCGUUGCCCGUUAUGCAAUUUUUUUGUUAAUAUUAUAUACAAUAUAAGCUCAAGUUAUACACAAUAACACAACAAAUGCCUAUAAAUAAAUAAAUUUAGGCCAUGUUUGGUUUGAAGAAAGGGGAGGAGAGGAAAAGUGAAGAAUGAAGAGAAAGGGAGAAUAAAUGAGUAGAGAAGAAUAGUGAAAUGAAAUUUCAUUGUUUGGUUUACCAUAAAAUUUGAUAGGAAAAGGAAUUAUAAUUUUUUUUCGUUGGACAAAUUUAUCAUUUGCCUUAAAUACUAAACUAUGUAUAUUAGUAAUGAAAUAUAAUUUAAUAUCAGUACCAAACUUUUUUAAUAUCAAAAAGUCCUAAAACAAUUCAUGAUGUAUUAUACACACACACACACACACACACACACACACACACACACGCAUAUAUAUAUUCACUAUAAUUAAAAUAUAAAAUAAUAAUUAUGACAAUAAUUAAUUAAAUACUUUUUAGUAAUUUGUUACAAUCUAACUUAUUCUAAUUUUGAUUCCAAAAUAAAAUAAACACAUCAAUGAGAUUUCAGUCCACUCCGAUUUCGAUUGUUGUAGGUCAAGUAAGCAACUUAUUUUGAUUCUCAUUCUAGCUCAUUCUGAUUCCAGCCCAUUUCAAUUACUGACAAGUAAACACAGCAUAAGUGUGCUAAACUUAUAUUGCUUUCGUUGCCGAAUAUUUUGAUAAGUGUGCGGGGCACUUUUAGAGUGGCCUUUUUUUUUUUUUUUUUGAGUGUCACUUUUGUUUGGUAACGGAUUAAAGGAGAAAAAAAAAGGGAGAGUGGGGGCAUUACUUUUAUCUCAUCCUUAACUUCCGAAAGUGGGAGAGAACAAGGGGGGAAAGAGGGGAGUGGGGAGUUACCUAGGGGGGAUUAUUUAUUUAUUUUUUCUCUCUUCUCCAGGGGGCUGGGUCUCUCUUCCUCUCAUGGAAAAUCCUUUCUUUUACACUCUAUUUCAUUUUUCUGCAAAUUACUCAAAAAGCUUUUGGUUUUUAAGGCAAUGUUUAUUAAGCCAUAUGAGUGGUGGCACAAGUUUUUCUAACAAAGGCUCAGAAACUGACUUGAGCGUCGGAGGGUUCACGCAGGAAAAACUUCUGGCGCCUCUGACCGUCUUCUAUAAUUUCAGGUAUUCGCAGGUUAAUUGCCGGUGGUUGCAGGACAUCUAGAUGAUUGACCAAUCGAUUCUCUACCAAAUAAAUCUAAUGCUGGUGUAGAAGUAUGAUAUUAAGUCGCUAAUAGACUAGAUCAGAUUUGGGCAUCAACAUUUGGCGCCGUCUGUGGGGAAUGAUACAAAAAGCCAACCUUUUGUCUCUAAUCAUGCACAAAUCGCAGCAAGCUCUCUUUUAUUUCUGUAUUCACGUGAAAAAGAAAUGAAUCGAAUCGGUAAAAAUUAAACCAAUGUUGACAUUCAUGAGCUUGAGAUCGGUAAAAUCUGUCUCACAAUUUUCAUUUCUGCUGGUAUUUUCUAUUAAAUUGAUGUGAUUACUUUCGAUUUACUCAUCUUUGUGUGUUCCAUAUUGCAUCUGAAUGAUCAAUUACACAUGUCACAGCCUCAGUAUAGUUUGAGUUUGUUUCCGUAUUGGUAAACUUGCGUAUUCACAUGAGAAAUUUAACUUUCAUAAUAAUUAGAAAUUGGUUGGGAAGCACGAAUUUGAGAAAUGUUGAAUUCCAACGCUAGUUGGUUUAUAGUCAAACUUCUCUCCAGAUCAUGUGCUUGCCAUAAAAUUCUGCACAUAUUUCAAGCUUAGACAAAUUAAGAUCUUAGUUACUUUAAACAUGAUGGCACGUGCACAUGAUCUAAUAACUUUAUAAAUGGAAGACUCACAAUUGGAUUGUGCCACGGUUUUAGCAUAUUUGCUAUAGAUUAAUUCUUUUAAAAUAAAGAUUUGACUACUACUUUGGUGCAGAGAUAUGGUGUUUUACGAUUUUAGAAACAGGUGUCAAAGGAUAUUUGUUAAAAGUAGUGAUACGAGAUCACGCCCAACAAAUGUUCGACGAAAUAAUUGACAGAAUCGAAAAAGUUUCGCAGCCUCAAAUUCUAAGGAACAAGCUCAAGAAUCUGCAGAAGAACAUUCACGAUGGUGAGAUUAAUUGGAUUGGAAAGCAAAUGCAGCAACUGGAAUUGAAGGGAGUGACGCUCGAAAGAACACUGUCUAGGAGCCAAGGACUAAAAUCCAGGUUCUGAUUCAAUUUAUUCAAUAUACUCAUCAAACUAAUUGAGAGCAUGAAUUAAUUUUUAAUCAUAGCUCUAUUAUACCUUUGCAUGAGAGAACAUUAGAAAUUACGCAUAUAUAGCUGUCUAUAAAUAAUGGCUGUCAUCCACAUUGCACAAAUUCUCAUAAUCGUUAAUGAGUGUUGGAAGAAGUAUAAUUAGCAUAAUCUGGAUGAAGCCGAGUAUUGGUAUUUUGGCUAACUUUAAUAAAGGUUUUAAAACAAAACAAAUUUUUAUUGAUGAUGAGAAUUGAUAGGCAUGUCUUCAAGCUUCAAAGAAUUGAUGAAGUUGGAUUUUUGUUUCCUUCAUAUUUUAUUCGUUUUGUGCCCGUGUUACAAUAUUGCAAGAAUAAUUCUAAGAAGGGAGCAAAGAAGAGUCAAGCUCGGGAUUUGUUUGAUGAAGUACCAAUGAAAUAAUGCAGAGCACAAUCUCAGGUGCACUUGUUCUAAAACCUCAGUUUUAUAUUUAUCCUUUAAAUCCACUACAUGACUUAAAAAAUCUGAUGGAUGGGGUUUUGACUUAUUAAGUCGUUAAUAGAAAAUAGUUAAUAUUACAUAUUAUAGAAUAUAUAACAUAGUCAUAUAUUAGCACACAAUAUACUUGACCGAAGGAUUGAUAGAGCUUGGGUUAGCAUGAGAUUGUAUUUCCUUGAUACAGUGAUAUGACUUUGCUUAAACUUUUAUGUUACCAUUUAUUUGUUGAUUACAUAUUUUAUAUAAUAUGAUUUAUUUUAUAUAUAAAUUUCAAUAUUUAUAGUGUUAGUAAAUGGUGUUGUGCACCUUUAGCAAAGGUCUUUAAUAAUAUUGCCAACCAAAAUAUUAUAGAUGGUAAUAAAACACCAAGAAUGUUUAUCCAUCAAAGGCCCAAACAUAUAUAAAUAGCUAAAGCACAAGUUGUAAAUGCUGAGCUAUUUUCUGGACAAUUUAUAAUUUACAGGUCAGAAAUUAAAUUUUUGAUAGUUUAUUACAGCUGAUCAAUUUGCAGAGCAAAUCCAUAUUUAAGGAUUUAAAGCAAAAACCUCAAAUAAGAGCACAUCAAAGGCAUACAUUUGUAGGAAUCAGAACAUGUUAGAAGUUAUAUUUUGAUUUACAAGCAGUUUUUUCUAUAAAAAUUUAAUUAUUUCUCUAAAUUCUGCUAUGUGAGAUGAGGAUACCUUAUAUUCAUUAAAUUGAUUGUGCUCAUAUUAGGGCUGACGGUAUAACUUAGUUACCCUGAUUUCUUAAAAGUUACUCAAUAUGAGAAUAAUUUAAGAAAGGAGAGCUAGGCUAGCGUUGAGAAGCCAAUCAAAGUUUACUAAUAAGGCAUGCAAAGGCUCACCAAGUCUCAAAGCUUGUUUUAUGGCGAGAGCAGAAGCCAAGCGUGCCAGGAUCUGCCCGACCAAGUGAAGGCGAGCAGACCCUCAAGUGUUAUAAAAAUUCUUAAGGCAUGCAAAGGCUCACAAAGUCUCAAAGCCUGUUUUAUGACGAGACCAGAAGCCAAGCGUGCCAGGAUCUGCUCGACCAAGCGAAGGCGAGCAGACCCUCAAGUGUUAUAAAAAUUCCUAAGGCAUGCAAAGGCUCACCAAGUCUCAAAGCCUGUUUUAUGGCGAGACCAAAAGCCAAGCGUGCCAGGAUCUGCUCGACCAAGCGAAGGCGAACAGACCCUCAAGUGUUAUAAAAAUUCCUAAGGCAUGCAAAGGCUCACCAAGUCUCAAAGCCUAUUUUAUGGCGAGACCAGAAGCCAAGCGUGCCAGGAUCUGCUCGACGAGCAAACCCUCAAGUGUUAUAAAAAUUCCUAAGGCAUGCAAAGGCUCACUAGAAGUCAAGCAUGCCAAGAUCUGCUCGACCAAGCGAAGGCGAGCAGACUACAAAAGUUCCAGAAAUCUUCUAAGGCAUGCCAAAGCUCAAAAGUCUCAAAGCCUAUUUUAUGGCGAGACAGAAAGCGAGCAUGCCAGGAUCUGCUCGACCAAGCGAAGACGAGCAUACCACAAAAGUUCUAAAAAUCUUCUAAGGAAUGCAAAGGCUCCAAAGUCUCAAAGUUUGUUUUGUGGCGAGACAGAAAGCCAAGCAUGCCAGGAUCUGUUCGACCAAGCGAAGGCGAGCAGACUGUUGUGGAAAUUUUAAUGUACUCGCAAGCGCACGAAUCUAUUGUAGUAUAGACUAAUGGUGACGAGUGUCGAUCCCACGAGGAGGUGGAUUUUAAUUGUAUAUAGAAUUAAUUUUGUAAAUGGGUGGUUGGAUUUGUGGUGGAAAUGAUUUGGAAUAUGCUAAAACUUAAAUUAAAAUGGCGAGAAUAAAUUCUAAAAUUGGAAUUGCAAUGGCGAGAAUAAAUUGAAGAGAAUUCUAUUGAAAUGACGUACUUGGGUAUCUGGAUCCGUAUCAACAUGCAUCAUGGGCUAAAUAUUCCUUAUUAAUACCAAUUAAAUCAUGAGGGGGGAAUCCACACCUCAUGAACCACACUCUAAUCAAUAUGGUGCUAAGGGCUUAUCGUGCCAAAUAAUAAUAACCUUAUACUAGAGAGCCGGUGUAACCAAGGCGGUAUCUAGACAAGAUCAGUAUUAUUUGUCGACGAUAAGUCAAAUCAUCCACAAAAACUAGAGGGGAAAAGAAAAUAAAUUUACCAAAUAAAGCCCAUGACACAUGUUGAGACUUCACCUUCAACCCAAGCUUGAAAGGAAAUUAGCUACUCAUAAUUGAACUAGGGGCAAAAUGGAAAUUUAUUAAAAUACAAAGAAAAUACAAGAUGGAGAAGGAAUUACAGAAAAUGGAUCCCAAAAAUGGAUUCAGAGAUAUCAAAUUAGGGGGGGAGGCCCCCUUUUUAUAGAUACAUGGAGUAAAUCAUGGCCAUCGGAUUAAAAACAGUUUGGACGCUCAGGAUUGCGCCACGUCAUCAGUCAACAGUCCACUGUUUGACCACGCGGAUGAACAGUAACACUGUUUGACCCGGAUGAACAGUAACGCGGUUUGGUUGAAAAUAAUCCUGUGUGAUGCAUGUACCGUACGCGAGAUUUUUCGUCCACUGAUAUGCUGCCACGUCACCAUCAACAGUACAUACGAAGUUUAGUCCAACAGGAUCGUGACACCUCAUCAGUCAAUGCCACAUCAUCGGUCAAUGUCACGUCAUCGAUCCUUCUAUGUGAACAGUGUCGUGAACAGUAACGUAGACAGUACCGUAUACGUGAAUAGUACCGUAUAUGUGAAUAGUGCCAUUUUUCCUUUUAUGCUCCUCCUAAGGUUUUCGACCGUCCUGAGUUCAAAAGUGAUGUCCGUUUUACCGUCUGAUCUCUCCUUUAUUGUGAAAUGACUAUAAUGCCCCUAAAAUACAUAAAAUACUUAAUUAAAAUAACACACACGUAAUUACAUCACAAGAAGGUUAAAUACAUAAAAGUAAGGGUUGUUAGUAAGACUUGAAAUGUAAAAUGACGGUUUUCUCCUUUAUAAAUAUACAUUUUCUAACACUCAACACAGACCACAAAAGUUCCAAAAAUCUUCUAAAGCACGCAAAGGCUCCACAAGUCUCAAAGUCUCAUCGAUGGCGAGAAAGGAAGCCAAGCUCGCUAGAAUCUGCUCGACCAUGUGAAGGCGAGCAGAUAAUGAGAAUUUCAAAAAAGUUUCUAAGGCAAGCAAAAGCUUCAAAGUCUCAAAGCCUCCUCGAUGGCGAGACAGGAAGCCAAGCUCGCCAGAAUCUGCUCGACCAUGUGAAGGCGAGCAGACAAUGAGAAUUUCAAAAAAGUUUCUAAGGCAAGUAAAGGCUCCAAAGUCUCAAAGCCUGCUCGAUGGCGAGAUAAGAAGUCAAGCUUGCUAGAAUCUGCUCGACCAUGUGAAGCCGAGCAGAAAGUAAAAAAAAAAAAGAAAAAAAAAAGGUACUACAUGUAAAAGGCUUACAGUCUCCAAACCUCCUCGCAGUGAGACGAAGUCAAAGUUUGCCUCUCAUGCCCGACUAAGAUUACGCGAGCAAGAGUUAUAUGGGCGAAAAAUGUUCUAAAGCAGAUAAAUGACUAAGUCUUAAAAACUACUUCAGGUGAGAUAAAUACCCGAACUUAUGAAACAUGCUUUACAUGAUUAUGUGAGUAGGAAAAUGGUAUAUUUAAAGGCAUGUAAAAGUUUAAAACUUGAAACUUUUUUGUUAAUGGCAAGGUUAAUUUAAGCAAUCCCGAGCCGAUUUAUGGCAACCACCUCGAGGUCACUUUAAAAUUUAUAUAGUUUCCAGUCUUAAUUCGUUAAAACUCUCAACACUAGAAACUAGGGGACUGGUGUUUGGUAACGGAUAAAAGGAGAAAAAAAAAGAAGAGUGGGGGCAUUACUUUUAUUUCAUCCUUAACUUCCGAAAGUGGGAGAGAAUAAGGGGGGAAAGAGGGGAGUGGGGAGUUACCUAGGGGGGAUUAUUUAUUUAUUUUUUCUCUCUUCUCCAGGGGGCUGGGUCUCUCUUCCUCUCAUGGAAAAUCCUUUCUUUUACACUCUAUUUCAUUUUUCUGCAAAUUACUCAAAAAGCUUUUGGUUUUUAAGGCAAUGUUUAUUAAGCCAUAUGAGUGGUGGCACAAGUUUUUAUGACAAAGGCCCAGAAACUUACUUGAGCGUCGGAGGGUUCACGCAGGAAAAACUUCCGGCGCCUCUGACCGUCUUCUAUAAUUUCAGGUAUUCGCAGGUUAAUCGCCGGUGGUUGCAGGACAUCUAGAUGAUUGACCAAUCGAUUCUCUACCAAAUAAAUCUAAUGCUGGUGUAGAAGUCUGAUAUUAAGUCGCUAAUAGACUAGAUCAGAUUUGGGCAUCAACAACUUUCAAUUUCACUUUAGUCAAGUUUUCAGGUCAUUUUCAUUAAAAAUUUCUUAAGUUUAUUAGAUAAGGAUGAUUGCACUCACAAGUGAAAAAAAUAUAUAGAUGGAUGUUCACACAUCGCCAUUUGGUCAAGGCAUUUCAAUUUCUUCAAUAGUAGCACUUUUCAGAUUAUUUAAUAAAGGAUAUUUAUCUAUCAUUCACCUAAUUAUCUCAUCCUUGAAUUUAAAAUACUCAAUAAUUCAAAUAUUUUUCACUUGCAGUUACAGAAACUAAAAAGAUUCUCCUAAUUAUUUAGAUGAAUCGGCUCUUCGAUUUUUUUUUUAAGAACAUAUUUGUGAACCAACACACUACUUUCAACUUAAGAAAAUUAUAGAAUGAAGAUCAUGUGUGUAUAUUGCUAUUAAGUUUUAUAUGUGUAACAUAUUUGUUUGAUUUUAAAUAUUAAUGUUAUGUGCUAGGUUUGGAUCGAACAAUUAUUUAUUAGUCUUAACCCACCUAAAAGUUGACUUAUCUAAUCAUUAAUAUUUAAUUGGAUAGUUGCUACUUGCUAAGCAUAAGAAGAAAACUUACACAAGUAUGAUGAUUUACAUAACAAACAGGGACAAAGCCCUCGGCUAUAACCUUAUUCACGUCAUCGUGGCACAUAAAAGACUAAACUAUAUGUUACUACUUAAAUGGCAAUAGGGAUUGCAUGAAGUGGCUGAGCCUUCUGUAAGGUGAGACCAAACUUCUCUUCCAUGUCCAUGUUAUGUUGAGUAAUUCCAUCUUCAAACUUCCAAUCAAAGGAAUUAAUAAGUGAACCCAACAUUAGAUACAACAUUCUUAUAGCCAACGGCAAACCAGGACAUAUCCGUCGUCCAGCACC
rnacentral:lncRNA from 1 species